CGGAGCGUGGCGCAGCCUGGUAGCACACUUGACUGGGGGUCAAGGGGUCGCAGGUUCAAAUCCUGUCGCUCCGACCA
rnacentral:tRNA from 1 species